UUUGCAAUUUUGGUAUGCACUUUUUCCUGGAGCUGCAGGCUGCGCCGUCCUUUGCUUGAUUGUAAGUAAAUUGGACCUUACAGCUUCCUGAAAGAACAGAAGGUUUAGUGCAUACAAAAACAGAACAUUGAACCUUAUGCCACAAUUUUUUGCAGCAAGAGGUGGUGGUUUACCUAAAGAAGAACUUCAAGUUUUGAUUCAAGCAGCAUGACUUGAUGGCUUCUUGUGGCAGUGAUUCUACUAAUUAUUCAAUCAUGUACCAUAAAUUACAUGACCUGCAUUUGCAAGAAGAUGAGAAAAAUGUAGGCUUACUGUCACUUGGUUAAAGAAGAAAGAAGACCUUCCUUGAUACUUUGUACUGAUCAAAGUGCAGGGUACAAACGUAGGCUUACUGUCACUUGGUUAAAGAAGAAAGAAGACCUUCCUUGAUACUUUGUACUGAUCAAAGUGCAGGGUACAAACGUGAAGACAUACCAAUCUCUCAUUGAAUGAAGUCUGACAACUGUACACACUGAAUUCCUGACCUCUUUUUUUUGGUAAUAUCAGUCAUGUACUGUAAUUGUACAAAUCUAAAUAAUCAGGAAUACUUCAUGAUAACCUCUGGCUAUCUGAA
rnacentral:lncRNA from 1 species